CAGUUAUCACUUUUUUUAUGAUAUAAUUAUUAUAAUAUAGUAUAAUAUUAUUCACAUAUUAAUAUAUUAUUAGCAAUUAUUAAUUAAUAUAAUUUUAUUAUUUUAUGAUUUACCAUAUUAUACAAUAUAACUGUGACUAGGGUGACUUUGCCUAUGAAAAAAAUCAAUGUACAAUACGGCGGUACAUCGGUGUUUAGUGCAUCUCAGUUUUAGCAUGACAAAUUAAUUACAUUUUAGUGUAGUUUUUUAGUGUACCACUGCACCACCGUCCACCUGAGUUAACUGGAAAAUUUGAAUCGGUGUACAUCACUUUGGGAAUUAGUUCGACAUCGGCAAGAUAUAGUUCUGGAAGUGAAUUUGGUUGUGAAGCUUGAUAAAAAAACAAGGAAAAGAAGAUAUGAAGAUCAUAAACAAGUUUCAGUAUCAAAUAUUCAAAUUCUUAGACUUUGAAAUGCACGUACCACUGAUCAGGUUGCCACUUUCAAAUUUUUGCGGAAAUGAAUAUCUCGGAAGUUUUUGGGCGGGGAAGUAUAGCGAGCGCGGGGGAGUCGGAAACGGCCGAGCAACGGGAACGACAAGUCCAAAUAAUGGCCGCCCGGGUUUAUGCUACUGUAUAAUACAAACCCACUUUUCUAUGUAAACGUAGUAAUGACUUUAUGGAAUUGUGAAAGCUGCGGAUAGUUCGUGGAAAUUCAUGAAAGAAAAUCGCAGAAAUCGUCAUCGAUGUUUCAUUUCAGAGAGUUUAUAACUCCUAAUUUCCACGGAACUUUCCGUCAUCGAUACAUCCUUUGAAUUUUUCAAUUUGGAUAUUAACGGUCAUUUUUCUCUUAUACUUUUCGUGUUUUACACAUUAUAAUUGCACUUUGCUUGUCCGUUGUUUUUUUUCCUAUAGCCUUUGUUUCGCGUACAAUCGCGUAUAAUGAAUUUCAAUAGACGUACAAAACUAAUAUAUUUAAUGACUGUCUCCACUCCUAUGACACACACCUACAACCCAUUCCGUCGUUUAUUAGAUGAGUAUGUGGACUGCAACGGGUAUGUGGAAAAAAAUGAAAUCGCAAUCGCCACCGAAAAUCUAAAAGAAAGUUUAGAAUAAAUUAUUUACAACCCAAUUCUUCAAUAUCCAGAAAUAUCAUCCACUCCAGUACUUGGGAGGCAUUGUAUCGCAAAAAGGAUUAAAAUUGAAAGAAUUAAAAAACAAAAGAUAUUACAGUUAUGGACCACCAAUAA